AGGACGAACGCUGGCGGCGUGCUUAACACAUGCAAGUCGAGCGGUAAGGCCUUUCGGGGUACACGAGCGGCGAACGGGUGAGUAACACGUGGGUGAUCUGCCCUGCACUCUGGGAUAAGCCUGGGAAACUGGGUCUAAUACCGGAUAUGACCUGCUCUCGCAUGGGGGUGGGUGGAAAGAUUUAUCGGUGCAGGAUGGGCCCGCGGCCUAUCAGCUUGUUGGUGGGGUAAUGGCCUACCAAGGCGACGACGGGUAGCCGACCUGAGAGGGUGACCGGCCACACUGGGACUGAGACACGGCCCAGACUCCUACGGGAGGCAGCAGUGGGGAAUAUUGCACAAUGGGCGAAAGCCUGAUGCAGCGACGCCGCGUGAGGGAUGAAGGCCUCGGUUGUAACUAC
rnacentral:rRNA from 1 species